UACAGAGACCUCAAGCGUUAUCCGGAAUCAUUGGGCGUAAAGCGUUCCGAUAGGUGGUUUUGAAAGUCUUGGGUAAAAGCCAGAAGCUUAACUUCUGCGUUUGCUUAUGAUACUGCAAAACUAGAGGGGCAAAGAGGUGCUUGGAACGAAUGGUGUAGUAGUGAAAUGCGUUGAUAUCAUUCGGAACACCGAAAGCGAAGGCAGAGCACUGGGUGCCACCUGACACUGCUAGGACGAAAGCGUGGGGAGCGAAUGGG
rnacentral:rRNA from 1 species